GUGCUAGGAUCAAGUCUCACACAUAUGAUGACCCAUGGUACAAAAAUGAAUGUCACAUCUUUACUAUAUAAUAGGAGUUCUCUACAAAAUAGCUAAAUAAUUACAUCAUAUGAAGACAACGAUCCUCCGCAACCAUAGUUGACUGGGAGAUGAUGACCUAGACCUCUCACGAACUCAUCGCGACAUCCUUCCUGCUCCCCAUAUUGCAGUACCUGUUCUUGACUUGGGGGGAUGUGAGUACAUCAAGGGUGAGCUCACAUAUGUUUAUCGCUCAACAAGUUUUGGGGAAUAAUGUGCAUGAGCUCACUUACGAUGGGGGUUCAGGUGAAUUGUAAGGCUUACCAAAGAAGAUGAUUAAAGCUGAAUAUUGCUUUUAGAGUUGGUCAAAUUUUAUUAGCAGUUACUAAGUAUAAGUAGAUACCAACCCAUUUAAAUAAAAGAUCAUAAUUAAUAAUAAAACCCACAAUGCAAUGCAAAUGACAGAUUAAGUUUAGUUCCAUAAGUUACUCAUGUGAGGGUCCGAGCUGCUCAUGAUCGUUAGCACGGUUGAUAUAUCAGUUUUAUACUCUGCUGAGGUUGCAUAUCUUUACCCACAAGACUUUCCUGUUUAGCCAGGGUUAGCUAGACCCUUGGACACUUCUAAGGUGAAUGGCUAGGGAUCCACUGCGAGGCCUUUACAAAGUUCCACUAGAGGAGAGAACCCGCUACGGAUUCUGCGCCGAAGGUGAUGUAGGAAUUCCUUUUUCGGAAAGCUAAAAAUAUAGUCCAACCCGAGGACCUCUCUACACCUGCACUCCUCCACCCCACUUGCCCUUUUUGGGAAAGGAUUAACUCACACUAGCUUUCCUAAUUAUUCAACUAAGGGUGUCCCAUUCCACCCUUUUGGUAGCACUGUUUUCCUGGGUGGUUGAUCCAUGUUCCAUUUAACAUAAUAAUCUUAUCGUGAACAAUAAUUAAACUAACAGUAUUAAUGGAACAUUAUCAUAAUUCAAUAUAACAUUAAUCCCAAAUCCAGGUAGAGCAAUAGCGAGUCUACCCGAUAGUUCAUUUGUUUGUAAGGUGUGGGGUAAAUAAAACUAGGGAAACCUAUUGGGUCCCAUCAAAUUAACCUGAGCAUGUCACAGUGAUUAACAGGAACAUUAUUAGGUAAAGAAGCAUGAUCAAGGGCACAACAUGCCUGUGACUUGUGAUAAUAGGCGUUGACCCAAAAGUUGGGCUUCAAGUUACUCGUCACCUCGCCUCUACUCGUAGCAAUACAUACAAUCAAGCAAAUAAUGGAUAUGGUAACAUUACACCAAAGCAUAUAAAUAAACAAUGUAAGAAUAUUCUACGCGCCGCUACGAGAUCGUAGGUUCGAGAACCACUAAAAUCGGAGUUAUGGUUAAAAAUAUAGUAUUCUAAAGUUUUAGGUUCUUUAAAAAGUAAAACUUUAUUCUUUAUUGAUUAAUAUAAGUCAGAAAGGAUAUGAAUAAAUAAUUAAUUUAUCUUUAAUUUAGGUUAUAACUUGAGUAGAGAUCACAUCUUAGUCAGAUUAUAAUUAUAGGCAGAUUGACUUUGACUAGAAUGAUUAUCAACUAUCAUAAGUUAAAUAAAUACCCAAUUAAAGAGGUAUGUGGAAUGAUACAAAUAAUGUUUUUAAUGUGUAGACAAUUUUACUACAAAGCUAAUGCAACUAGAACAUACCAAUUUGGAGUUAAAUCGCAAAAGUUAUGGAUUUUCUAAGGUUAUUGGAUUUAUUUUUAUACUAAUAAUCAUUAUAUCGGAUUUAUUUUACUUAAUUUAAUAAACUGUGGAUUGCGAGUACUAUUUCUAAGAAGAACAUGGUUCAAUAUAUAAAUUCUAGGACCAAUCCGCAAGACUCUUUACACAGUCUUGGAUGGCGGGUUAAUUUCUUAAAAAUGUGAGGGCUCUUAAGCAUAUAUCCUACGACGAAGGGGGUACGGUUCAUUAUGGACUGCCCGAUCAUACCCGAGUGGCCUAGAUUAGAUCUUCAUAACACCUGGACCAAUACGAGUUCUCAAUAAUUGGAUCUCAGAUUCGUGGUCAAGGUUUGGCCACACCAUCGAUUAAUCUCCUCUAUCCGACUCUGAUCCAGUGGAUCAGAUCAAAAAAAUGAAGGGGUACGUGGACGCUCAAUCUCAACCCUCGGUUACUCGAUCAACGGCCAUGUGCCUCAUCCACACCACAACUCUUACCCACGGCGGCGCAGAACAGGGCCCCACGAUAGCGUAUUCUCCCCUACGGCGGCGCCAUGGUCGCCGAGCACCCAAACUCUCCCCACAGCUCCAUCAUCGACACGAUUGGGAAGAAAACAACGAGAAGGCUACUACGGUUUGGAUAGUAGGGGACUUACCAGAGUUGGUGAGGUGAUGGCCUGUAGCCACGGCGAUGGGAGGCGUUGUGGCUGUGAAGGCCGACAAGGGAUUAUCGGCCGGUCAAGCUUUAGGAGUCUUCAAUUUAGCGCGAUGAAGAACUUGGGCACAAUUUUGAGCGCAGUAUAGAGGCAUGGAAGGGGAUCACUAACGGUGGCCGCAACCUUUCUCUUCGCCCCGCUGAUGGCUCACUCUGAUCCCCAAUUGCUCACGACGGCGGUGGCUAUUAACUUCUAUGAUAGCCCUCGGCGGUAUAGUACUAGAUGGCCAAGGCAGCGCCGAGCUCGGGUUUUAUAUUGGAGCAGAGCUAGGAUCGUAGGGGGGAGAAUGGUUGAAUAGCCCGAACUUUAUGCGCGUUUUGUUGAGGGGAUAGGGAUGGUCCUGAUGGGGC
rnacentral:lncRNA from 1 species